UACGAGGGAGGGCUAGCGUUGUUCGGAAUUACUGGGCGUAAAGCGCACGUAGGCGGCUUUGUAAGUUAGAGGUGAAAGCCCAGGGCUCAACCCUGGAAUUGCCUUUAAGACUGCAUCGCUUGAACAUCGGAGAGGUAAGUGGAAUUCCGAGUGUAGAGGUGAAAUUCGUAGAUAUUCGGAAGAACACCAGUGGCGAAGGCGACUUACUGGACGAUUGUUGACGCUGAGGUGCGAAAAGCGUGGGGGAGCAAACAGGG
rnacentral:rRNA from 1 species